UUUAUUAGCCCCUGUAGCUUCCUGACCAACCAGAGCAUAGGCCUUAUUUAUGACUGUGUACUAGAGAUACCUUUUAUACCCACGCUCUAUUCUACUCAUCGACCCUGUCCUCCACCUCACUUUAAAGGAGACCUAGAUCUAGGUUUAACCUCACUGCAGCCAGCAUAAGUUUUUUAUCAGAACCUUCUGUUUUCCAUCAAACGAAUGUUGACUAUAACCCUAUGUGCAGUAGCCUUCAAUAAUACUAAGAUUCGAAUGCUUCUUGUGCCUUUGUCUACUACAAAUCCACUAUAAUACGUGGACUUGUUCUUAUGUUUGUUGCUUUUUACUUUAAAGGAGUUUUGUUUGUGGGGGCGGGGGGGGGUUAGCUUGUUUUUUUUUUUGUGGGUUUUUUUUUAUUUUGGUUUUGACUUCUGAAGUCAUGGAUUUAAUUUUUACUCAGGUAAAAGCCCAUAAAGGUUCUUAGGCAUGGAAGAAAAGCUUGGGAAGGCUAGUAACAUGGUGCAAUUUUAAAUGAUUUAAAUAAGCUCUGUGCCCCUGAGCUUAACCUAAAAGUUUAAUAAGAUGUGAAGG